rnacentral:rRNA from 1 species
UGGGGAAUUUUGGACAAUGGGCGCAAGCCUGAUCCAGCCAUGCCGCGUGCAGGAUGAAGGCCCUCGGGUUGUAAACUGCUUUUGUACGGAACGAAAAGCCUCUUUCUAAUAAAGAGGGGUGAUGACGGUACCGUAAGGAUAAGCACCGGCUAACUACGUGCCAGCAGCCGCGGUAAUACGUAGGGUGCGAGCGUUAAUCGGAAUUACUGGGCGUAAAGCGUGCGCAGGCGGUCUUGCAAGACAGUGGUGAAAUCCCCGGGCUCAACCUGGGAACUGCCAUUGUGACUGCAAGGCUGGAGUACGGCAGAGGGGGAUGGAAUUCCGCGUGUAGCAGUGAAAUGCGUAGAUAUGCGGAGGAACACCGAUGGCGAAGGCAGUCCCCUGGGCCUGUACUGACGCUCAUGCACGAAAGCGUGGGGAGCAAACA